GUUAAUUAAAUUAUUGAAGGAUUUAAAUAUUUGAUUUAGUCGAAAUUGGAUUGUCGGUGUUAUUUAAGGGCGUAUUUGGAAUUAUAUAAAUCGAAGUCGGAUAGUCAGAAAAUAAUAUUAAGAAUAAUAUUAUUUAUAAGUCGGAAUUAUUAUAUUGAAGGAAUUAUUAUUAUAAGUGAUAUAAUUGAUUAUUUGAGUUAUAUCUCUUAUUGGGCCUAAAUUGAUUUUGGAGGAUAUUAAAUAAAGAGAGGAUUUAAACACUAAGCCCAAUUGAUUUUAUAUUAGGGUUUUAGAGAUUUUGGAAAGGGGGAGUUGUCAUAAUGAAGAAACAAGAAUAGAGGAGAAAGAGGCAAGACUAUGGAGAAGAAGAAGAAGCUUGAAGAUUUUCAUCCAUGGUGCCAAAUUGAAGAUGCAAAUAGAGACCCAUUGAGUUGCUUCCAUUGAUAAGGUAUUCAAGUAUGAAGAUUUAGUUGUCGUUACUCGAAUCGGUUGUCGCUCUGAUACGUAGCACUCUGGGGGGAACGAUUUAUGUCAUUUAUGAUGUUGUUGUUUAAUUGUGUUAUCUUGGUUGAACAAAAUGAUAAGUUAACUGAGGAUAUUUUAUUGAAUACAUUCUUAAGCGAUUCCGCUGUGUUUUAAUAAAAUAAGUUAUUCUGUUUCAAA